ACAUAGGUGGCAAGCGUUAUCCGGAUUUAUUGGGCGUACAGGGUGCGUAGGCGGUUGUGUAAGUUUGAGGUUAAAUCCCGGAGCUCAACUCCGGUCCGCCUUGAAAACUACAUGACUAGAAUGCAAGAGAGGUAAACGGAAUUCCAUGUGUAGCGGUAAAAUGCGUAGAUAUAUGGAAGAACACCUGUGGCGAAAGCGGUUUACUGGCUUGUUAUUGACGCUGAGGCACGAAAGCGUGGGGAGCAAAUAGGAUUAGAUACCCUAGUAGUCCACGCCGUAAACGUUGAGUACUAAGUGUCAGGAAUUAUCUUGGCGCUGCAGCUAACGCAUUAAGUACUCCGCCUGAGUAGUAUGCACGCAAGUGUGAAACUCAAAGGAAUUGACGGGGACCCGCACAAGUGGUGGAGCAUGUGGUUUAAUUCGAAGCAACACGAAGAACCUUACCAGGGCUUGACAUCCAGUGCAAAGGCAUAGAGAUAUGCUGGAGGCUAACAUUGAGACAGGUGGUGCAUGGUUGUCGUCAGUUCGUGCCGUGAGGUGUUUGGUUAAGUCCAGCAACGAACGCAACCCUUGUCAUUAGUUACUAACAUUCAGUUGAGGACUUUAAUGAGACUGCUAGUGUAAGCUAGAGGAAGGUGGGGAUGACGUCAAAUCAUCAUGCCCCUUAUGUCCUGGGCCACACACGUGCUACAAUGGCUGAUACAAAGAGUCGCAAUCUCGCAAGGAGGAGCUAAUCUCAUAAAAUCAGUCUCAGUUCGGAUUGAAGGCUGCAACUCGCCUUCAUGAAGCCGGAAUCACUAGUAAUCGCGAAUCAGCUAAGUCGCGGUGAAUACGUUCUCGGGUCUUGUACACACCGCCCGUCACACCACGAGAGUUGGUAACACCAGAAGUAGGUAGCUUA
rnacentral:rRNA from 1 species